ACGAACGCUGGCGGCGUGCUUAACACAUGCAAGUCGCACGGAAAGGCCCUGCUUUUGUGGGGUGCUCGAGUGGCGAACGGGUGAGUAACACGUGAGUAACCUGCCCUUGACUUUGGGAUAACUUCAGGAAACUGGGGCUAAUACCGGAUAGGAGCUCCUGCUGCAUGGUGGGGGUUGGAAAGUUUCGGCGGUUGGGGAUGGACUCGCGGCUUAUCAGCUUGUUGGUGGGGUAGUGGCUUACCAAGGCUUUGACGGGUAGCCGGCCUGAGAGGGUGACCGGACACAUUGGGACUGAGAUACGGCCCAGACUCCUACGGGAGGCAGCAGUGGGGAAUAUUGCACAAUGGGCGGAAGCCUGAUGCAGCAACGCCGCGUGCGGGAUGACGGCCUUCGGGUUGUAAACCGCUUUCGCCUGUGACGAAGCGUGAGUGACGGUAAUGGGUAAAGAAGCACCGGCUAACUACGUG
rnacentral:rRNA from 1 species